CUGGCCCGUCUGGCGCCCGCGCCCGCGUCGGCUGGAUGGACCCAGGAACUUCCGGCCGCCGGGAGCCCAGGGGAUAAACUCCAGGAGGGCAUGAUUUUUGUCUGUUCUGUGCUCUGCUAUAUCCUCAAUGCCUGUAGAAGCUCUGUCCAAUGGAAAUAGAGUGCGAUCCAUGAACGCAACUACUGUGUAAAUCAAGGGAAGAACAAGUUUUGCUUUGCUCAAGAGCUUUAGCAAGGACUUAUCACCAUUUUGGAAAAUCACACCUGUGAUGGCAACAUGACUCAUGAUAGAGAAAGAAGAAAUUCACCCAGAUACCUGCUGGCAAAUCUAAUUGUUUGAGGAUUUUGCUUGACCAUGGGAUGAGUCCCCAUACGACACACCUGGAUCCAUCUGCAUUUGCUGAUGUCGCGGUCGCUGUGUUUCAUGGUAUAUAAAACUCUACUUUUUUUUUUUUUUUUCCGGUA